CCUUGCCACUGUAAGGAUGUUCUUCGGUGACUCCUGUUAUAGCUUAUGGUUAUUGAAUCUUAUAACUCUGAUAUUUCUAAUGAAGAGGUUAAACAUGGAUGAAGUGUAAAAUUGCACCAGGAAUUGUAAUUUCAAUCUUUUAUCUCAAUUUUUACCCUUAAGUUGUUUUUAUGUAAAUAUAUAUUGCACUUUAAUUGUCAUAGUAAUUUGAAUUCACUUUUCUAAAUACAUAUUUUUGUGUAUUUAUUAUAUAUUGCAUAUAUGUAUUGUUAAUUCGAAAGUUCUGUUUAUCUCUUAUUAAAUAUAUAAAAUUUCUAGUUAUUGAA